rnacentral:rRNA from 1 species
AGUGAACGCUGGCGGUAGGCCUAACACAUGCAAGUCGAACGGCAGCACAGUAAGAGCUUGCUCUUACGGGUGGCGAGUGGCGGACGGGUGAGGAAUACAUCGGAAUCUACUUUUUCGUGGGGGAUAACGUAGGGAAACUUACGCUAAUACCGCAUACGACCUACGGGUGAAAGCAGGGGAUCUUCGGACCUUGCGCGUUUGAAUGAGCCGAUGUCGGAUUAGCUAGUUGGCGGGGUAAAGGCCCACCAAGGCGACGAUCCGUAGCUGGUCUGUGAGGGUGAUCAGCCACACUGGAACUGGGACACGGUCCAGACUCCUACGGGAGGCAGCAGUGGGGAAUAUUGGACAAUGGGCGCAAGCCUGAUCCAGCCAUACCACGUGGGUGAAGAAGGCCUUCGGGUUGUAAAGCCCUUUUGUUGGGAAAGAAAAGCAGCAGGUUAAUACCCCGCUGUUCUGACGGUACCCAAAGAAUAAGCACCGGCUAACUUCGUG